GCUUAGCUAAAUAUUGCCUGGUGGGUUAGCUAGUUAGGUACCAUGGUUGGCUAGCUAGUUAUAGGUACCAUGGUUGGCUAGCUAAUUAGGUACCAUGGUUGGCUGGCUAGUUAUAGGUACCAUGGUUGGCCAGCUAGUUAGGUACCAUGGUUGGCUGGCUAGUUAUAGGUACCUUGUUUGGCGAGUUAGUUAGGUACCUUGGUUGGCUAGCUAGUUAGUUAGGUACCAUGGUUGGCUAGCUAGUUAUAGGUACCAUGGUUGGCCAGCUAGUUAGGUACCAUGGUUGGCUGGCUAGUUAUAGGUACCUUGGUUGGCGAGUUAGUUAGGUACCUUGGUUGGCUAGCUAGUUAGUUAGGUACCAUGGUUGGCUAGCUAGUUAGGUACCAUGGUUGGCUAGCUAGUUAUAGGUACCUUGGUUGGCGAGUUAGUUAGGUACCUUGGUUGGCUAGCUAGUUAUAGGUACCAUGGUUGGCUAGCUAGUUAGGUACCAUGGUUGGCUGGCUAGUUAUAGGUACCUUGGUUGGCGAGUUAGUUUGGUACCUUGGUUGGCUAGCUAGUUAGUUUGGUACCUUGGUUGGCUAGCUAGUUAGUUAGGUACCAUGGUUGGCUAGCUAGUUAGGUACCAUGGUUGGCUAGCUAGUUAUAGGUACCUUGGUUGGCGAGUUAGUUAGGUACCUUGGUUGGCUAGCUAGUUAUAGGUACCAUGGUUGGCUAGCUAGUUAUAGGUACCUUGGUUGGCUAGCUAGUUAGGUACCAUGGUUGGCUAGCUAGUUAUAGGUACCUUGGUUGGCGAGUUAGUUAGGUACCUUGGUUGGCUAGCUAGUUAUAUGUACCUUGGUUGGCUAGCUAGUUAUAGGUACCAUGGUUGGCUAGCUAGUUAUAGGUACCAUGGUUGGCUAGCUAGUUAUAGGUACCAUGGUUGGCUGGCUAGUAAGUUAGGUACCUUGGUUGGCUAGUUGGCUACAUAAGCUAAGGUUGGCUAGUUAGUUAUGUACCUUGGUUGGCUAGUUAGUUAGGUACCUUGGUUGGCUAGUUAGUUAGGUACCAUGGUUGGCUAGUAAGUUAGGUACCAUGGUUGGCUAGUAAGUUAGGUACCUUGGUUGGCUAGCUAGUUAUAGAUACCAUGGUUGGCUAGUAAGUUAGGUACCUUGGUUGGCUAGUUAGUUAGGUACCUUGGUUGGCUAGUUAGUUAGGUACCUUGGUUGGCUAGUUAGUUAUGUACCUUGGUUGGCUAGUAAGUUAGGUACCAUGGUUGGCUAGUUAGUUAUGUACCUUGGUUGGCUAGUUAGUUAGGUACCUUGGUUGGCUAGUUAGUUAGGUACCAUGGUUGGCUAGUAAGUUAGGUACCAUGGUUGGCUAGUAAGUUAGGUACCUUGGUUGGCUAGCUAGUUAUAGAUACCAUGGUUGGCUAGUAAGUUAGGUACCUUGGUUGGCUAGUUAGUUAGGUACCUUGGUUGGCUAGUUAGUUAGGUACCUUGGUUGGCUAGUUAGUUAUGUACCUUGGUUGGCUAGUAAGUUAGGUACCAUGGUUGGCUAGUUAGUUAUGUACCUUGGUUGGCUAGUUAGUUAGGUACCUUGGUUGGCUAGUUAGUUAGGUACCAUGGUUGGCUAGUAAGUUAGGUACCAUGGUUGGCUAGUAAGUUAGGUACCAUGGUUGGCUAGUAAGUUAGGUACCAUGGUUGGCUAGUAAGUUAGGUACCUUGGUUGGCUAGCUAGUUAUAGAUACCAUGGUUGGCUAGUAAGUUAGGUACCUUGGUUGGCUAGUUAGUUAGGUACCUUGGUUGGCUAGCUAGUUAUAUGUACCAUGGUUGCCUAGCUAGUUAUAGGUACCAUGGUUGGCUG